GCAACAUCCACAAUAUAAUUUUAUUGGGUUUGCAUGGCAAGGUUUUGGUAGUGGGGAGGCGUUACAAGAGAGGCUUCUGUGAAAAGCUACCAGAAGCUUCCCCAGUGUCUUGACAGAGCCAAAGCCGACUCUAAGAUGGCCCCACCACUGGCUGAAGCUGAGCCCAUCAGCGAUGGUGGUAGUGCCUCUGGGAUAACGUGUUUAAGAAGAGGGGGAAACUGCUGUUGCACAGCAGCCAGAACAGCUGAGUGAGAGUAUGUGAGACAACCAACUCUGCGGACAUCAAGAUCAGUGCGGAAGGAGGGGAGGAGGUGCUCCAGGCGCUAGAGCAGAGAUUCCCCUGCAGCCUGUGGGGAAGAUCAUGGUGAGGCAGGCUGUGCCCCUGCAGCCCACGGUGGUCCACGGCAGGCAGAUAUCCACCUGCCAGAGCAGGAGGAUGCCCAAAGGAGGCUGUGACCCCAUGGGAAGCCCGCGCUGGAACGAGCUCCUGUGAGGAGCUGUGGCCCCGUGGAGAGAGGAGCCCGUGCUGGAGCAAGUUUGCUGCAGGAUUUGUGCCCCAAUGGGGGACCCACGCUGGAGCAGUCUGUUCCUGGAGGACUGCACCUGUGGGAGGGACACAGGCUGGAGCAAUUUGUAAAGAACUGUCUCCUGUGGGAGGGACCCCCCGUCAGAACAGGGGAAUAGCACAACGAAGCAGCAGCAGCAGAGGCAACAUGUGUUGAACUGACCACAACCCCCAUUCCGUGAGCUCCUGUGUCGAUCAGUGGGAGGAUGUAGAGAACUCAGGAGUGAAGCCGAGCCCAGGAAGAAGAAAAGGGUGCAGGGAAGCUGUUUCAAAUUUGAUUUUCUCAUUACCCUGCUCUGGUUUGGCAAUAAAUUAAAUUUCCCUGAGUCAUCUCUUUUGCCCAUGAUGAUAAUUUCUGAGUGAUCUCCCUGUCCUUAUCUCGACUCAUGAGCCUUUCAUUUUAUUUUUAUUCUCCCUGUCCAGCUGAGGAGGGGAGGGAUAGAGCGUGCUGAGCACCUGGCAUCUAGCCAAGGUCAACCCACCACAUCUAUCACCUAUAGCCUUUCCCGUACAGAGGGUGAGAGAAAGUUCCUUGUGUAGUCUUGCUGGAUGGGAGAUAACUGUCUUGAAGUGCAGAUAAGCAGUUAUGUGUUUCUUAUCGAAGCCAGAUUAACAAAUAGUAAUUUUCUCAGUUCCUUUUAAGAAUUCUUGAUUCAACAGUAAUAAGUGAAGAACUGUAAAGCAAUUCAAAGUAGUUAUUGUUCAGUGCAUUAAAAAUGAAACAUGCUUUUGCUGUGCCUCAGGCCUCACGGUUACCCAGCUAGUUGCUAAUACUAUUUCAGAAUACGUAAAAUAUUCCUACUACUACCUGAUAUAAUAAUAUAGAGUCAUGGGAUAACUCCCACAUCACCUUUUUUUUUUUUUUAAAUUCUUCAUGCAGUACUUUUGAAUCAAAACCUGUAACAGUUAAUUGCACUAGCUCGUUCCUCAUACUACAAUCAGAACUUUCAACCUCCUCAGAAGAUUCCACUGUUAUGAGGACAAAGAGAAAAGUUCAUUCACCAUCUUCUUAUCUUUUUGUGCUUGCUGUUUCAAAUCAACUGGCUCCUGCUUCUGUUUCUCAAUCUGUGACAAAAGAAAUCAAGAAACAAUAACUGUGAGGGGAAAAAAUAUUCUUGCUGUGUUCUUCUCUUCAAAUUUGAGAAGACAGAAAUAGGGGAAAGAUCCCUCGUUUGCAGUGCGCAGGUCAAUUAAACCAUGUUUAAAACUUUGAUUUGCAUUAAGGAUAGGAAAUAACUAAAGCUUAAACUAUAAUCCCCCCUGCCAUGUAUUCGAUACAAACAGAUCUGUGACUCUACUGAAGAAUUAUAACUAUGUGGACAGAGGGUUUUCUUCCUUACUGUUUUGGAUAGUGGUGCAGUGUUAGAGAAACAGUUUAGAAAAGGAGAACAAAAACCAGAGAAAAACAGGCAGCUGGAAGAAGGUCUGAGUAAGAUCUUCUAUACUGGAGAGUCUGAAAGAAAACAGUGGGAUGUGAGCAAGGAAAUUGUCUCCUACCAUUUGACCUGGGGAUCAGAACUUUGUAUCUUCUUAUUAAAAGUUAAAAUAAUUCCAGUUUCCACUUUAAUUUUCUUUUUUUCUAACUGAAAAUGGGGUUUGCUUGGUACUUGACUUUAGAAAAGUAGAAAUGGGACUGAAGUGAAAUAAUCUGCGAUAGAAAAAACGGAAGCUACAAUGUAGGGCUUCUUUUUCUUGUGUUCCGAGUGGCGUUUGGCUCUAUUUUUUCUAAAACCUUCGCCAGGUAACUAAACCCAUCGCAUUCCCCCUUAGCUUUCUCUUUUUUCAAGCUGACAAACGCUUCGGCCUCUUGUACACCAUGUGCGGAAGCACCCGACCAUCUCGGGGCGCCUCCCCUGCGUUCGUUCCGGCACAUUGCUUUCUCGCCUGUACAGAGGGGGAGCCAGACCGGACGCCGUGUUCCCAUGCGAGGGAGCAGGCGGGCGCCCGGAGCGAGGCUUCCCCGUCGCAGCCCAGCUCGCCAACGCCUUCCCGCCGCCGGGGCGCGCUGCUGCUUCAAGCUCGUCCCCCUUCGGCCGCGGGCACCGGCAACAGGGCGGAGGAGCAGCAGGACCGGCCGCGAGGUGUUUUGCUACCGGUGGCUGCGCACCGGGAAGCUGUAGCUAGGGGAGAUAAGAGGGGCCUGCCCGGCUGCGCGCACACCUCCUCCGCCUUCUCCUGGCCCGGCUUCGUGAGGCAGGCCAUCGCGGCCGCUGCUUCCCUUCCCUAGUCCUGCCGCCGUCACAGCAGCUCCGCGUUGCUCCUGGCCAGCCGGCGGAGCUUCACCGUACUCGGCCCGGGACGCUUCGGUGGCCGCCGGC
ensembl:lncRNA